rnacentral:rRNA from 1 species
CGGCGGACGGCUGAGUAACGCGUGGGAACAUGCCCCAAAGUGAGGGAUAACCUCGAGAAAUCGAGGCUAAUACCGCAUAUGGUCUUCGGAUUAAAGGAUUUAUCCGCUUUGGGAGUGGCCCGCGUACGAUUAGAUUGUUGGUAGGGUAAUGGCCUACCAAGUCGACGAUCGUUAACUGGUCUGAGAGGAUGAUCAGUCAGACUGGAACUGAGACACGGUCCAG